rnacentral:rRNA from 1 species
UACGUAGGGUGCAAGCGUUGUCCGGAAUUAUUGGGCGUAAAGAGCUUGUAGGCGGUUUGUCGCGUCGGCUGUGAAAACCCGGGGCUCAACCCCGGGCCUGCAGUCGAUACGGGCAAACUAGAGUGCGGUAGGGGAGACUGGAAUUCCUGGUGUAGCGGUGAAAUGCGCAGAUAUCAGGAGGAACACCGGUGGCGAAGGCGGGUCUCUGGGCCGUAACUGACGCUGAGGAGCGAAAGCGUGGGGAGCGAACAGG